rnacentral:rRNA from 1 species
UACGUAGGGUGCGAGCGUUGUCCGGAAUUAUUGGGCGUAAAGGGCUCGUAGGCGGUUUGUCGCGUCGGGAGUGAAAUCCACUGGCUUAACUGGUGGCUUGCUUUCGAUACGGGCAGACUAGAGGUAUGCAGGGGAGACUGGAAUUCCUGGUGUAGCGGUGAAAUGCGCAGAUAUCAGGAGGAACACCGGUGGCGAAGGCGGGUCUCUGGGCCGUAACUGACGCUGAGGAGCGAAAGCAUGGGGAGCGAACAGG